rnacentral:rRNA from 1 species
GAUGAACGCUGGCGGCGUGCCUAACACAUGCAAGUCGAGCGGACGGACGCGAAGCUUUCUUGUCUGAUGUUGGCGGCGGACGGGGGGGUAACACGUGGAUAACCUACCUAUAAGACUGGGAUAACUUCGGGAAACCGUAGCUAAUACCGGAUAAUAUUUUGAACCGCAUGGUUCGACAGUGAAAGACGGUCUUGCUGUCACUUAUAGAUGGAUCCGCGCUGCAUUAGCUAGUUGGUAAGGUAACGGCUUACCAAGGCAACGAUGCAUAGCCGACCUGAGAGGGUGAUCGGCCACACUGGAACUGAGACACGGUCCAGACUCCUACGGGAGGCAGCAGUAGGGAAUCUUCCGCAAUGGGCGAAAGCCUGACGGAGCAACGCCGCGUGAGUGAUGAAGGUCUUCGGAUCGUAAAACUCUGUUAUUAGGGAAGAACAUAUGUGUAAGUAAUUGUGCAGAUCUUGACGGUACCUAAUCAGAAAGCCACGGCUAACUACGUG